rnacentral:rRNA from 1 species
GGUUAACCGUAUAGGGGAGCCGGAGGGAAACCGAGUCUUAAUUGGGCGUUAAGUUGCAGGGUAUAGACCCGAAACCCGGUGAUCUAGCCAUGGGCAGGUUGAAGGUUGGGUAACACUAACUGGAGGACCGAACCGACUAAUGUUGAAAAAUUAGCGGAUGACCUGUGGCUGGGGGUGAAAGGCCAAUCAAACCGGGAGAUAGCUGGUUCUCCCCGAAAGCUAUUUAGGUAGCGCCUCGUGAAUUCAUCUCCGGGGGUAGAGCACUGUUUCGGCUAGGGGGCCAUCCCGGCUUACCAACCCGAUGCAAACUGCGAAUACCGGAGAAUGUUAUCACGGGAGACACACGGCGGGUGCUAACGUCCGUCGUGAAGAGGGAAACAACCCAGACCGCCAGCUAAGGUCCCAAAGUCAUGGUUAAGUGGGAAACGAUGUGGGAAGGCCCAGACAGCCAGGAUGUUGGCUUAGAAGCAGCCAUCAUUUAAAGAAAGCGUAAUAGCUCACUGGUCGAGUCGGCCUGCGCGGAAGAUGUAACGGGGCUAAACCAUGCACCGAAGCUGCGGCAGCGAACGUAUCACCCAAGACAACUUUGCGGAGUUGACGAUUGACGGAGCGAAGCGACGUCAAAGCGUUCAUUAAAGUCGAGUUGGCUUAGGGAUACGUUCGUUGGGUAGGGGAGCGUUCUGUAAGCCUGUGAAGG